rnacentral:rRNA from 1 species
AUUGAACGCUGGCGGCAUGCCUUACACAUGCAAGUCGAACGGUAACGCGGGGCAACCUGGCGACGAGUGGCGAACGGGUGAGUAAUAUAUCGGAACGUGCCCAGUAGUGGGGGAUAGCCCGGCGAAAGCAGGAUUAAUACCGCAUGAGACCUGAGGGAGAAAGCGGGAGAUCGCAAGACAUCGAGCUAUUGGAGCGGCCGAUAGCAGAUUAGCUAGUUGGUGGGGUACAGGCCUACCGAGGCAACGAUCUGUAGCUGGUCUGAGAGGAUGAUCAGCCACACUGGAACUGAGAUACGGUCCAGACUCCUACGGGAGGCAGCAGUAAAGAAUAUUGCUCAAUGGGAGAAAUCCUGAAGCAGCGACGCCGUGUGAUGGACGAAGGGCUGUUGCUUGUAAACCUCUGUAGCAGGGGAGAAAACCUCCAUUUUGUGGAGUAUGAUAGUACCCUGAAAGUAAGCCUCGGCUAACUACGUGCCAGCCGCCGCUGUAACAC